rnacentral:misc_RNA from 1 species
GAGCAAAGAACCACUUAUUACAAUCUUAUCGACACAGGCGGAUCAGGUCAUUUCCAUUUGUACCAGCAAAGAACCACUUAUUCAAAUGUGCACACAGAAAUCGAAUGAAAUUGGAGCACAAGUACUGGAGUAAUAACGAGUUGCAAAAGGACGCAGGGGCGUCGCCAUCAGCAAUGCGCCUUCAGUUAAGCGCGCGUCAGAAUCAUCCAGGUGGUGAAGAACUCGCAGAGCACGGCGUUGUCCAUGAGCCUCGCCGCGUUCUUGGCCUCGCCGAGGCUGCGCCAGGCGUCUUCCACGAGCUGCCGCGCCGCCGACCACCACCCUUUCCCGCGCGGGGACUCGGGGAACUGCCACCGGAGGAAGUCCUCGGCUGCCGUGGCUGCCGCCGCGGCGGAGCUCAGCGCCAGCAGCGCGUCGUGGGCGUGGCAGACGGCCGCCUCCCGGAGGUCCAUCCACCGCUCCCACGGCGCGGCGGGGUGGGGCUUGAGGCCGAGGCCCUCGGCGCAGUUGACGAAGACGUGGCCGGCCUCGGCGUGGAGCGAGACGAGGCGCGUGAUCUCACGGUAGGCGACGGGGAGGUGGCCCUCUACGGGGGACAGCGCGAAGGCGAGGAUGUUGGCCCAGUAGCCGCCGUGUUGCACCACGGCCCAAGAUGGAAGCCUCGUCUGGGACUGGCUGCCGCGGGUGGUCUUCCAGGGUACGGCGCUGCCGUUGUGAUCGUCGUCUCCUCCGGUGGACGUCUCCAUGGGUUCGCCGACGCUGCAGUUUCCGCCUCGGUCGGUGUUGGAGGGCGGAGACUCGGGGUCGUCGGAGUCAUCGAAGCCCCACUGCUUCCCGGCGAACAGCUCGCGGGCGCACUUGAUGCUCGCGACGGCCUUUCCCGAGGUGCCGACGAGCAGGAGGAUCGCCGGCACAGUCCGUGCCAGAUCCAUUAAUCGCCGCUCCUCCGUUGCCAUUGAGCGCGUGCAUGUGCAAUGGACAAACAAGAGAAUGCCGAGGCGGGCGGCGGCGGCGGCCUAUCCUAUUUAUGCCAGGUGGAAUGGGAACGACGCCACCGGCAUUUUAUUUUAACUGCCUCCUUGCG